GUUGUGGAAGGCUUCUAUAAAGACUAGGAAAAGGGGCACUGUUUUUUCUGAUUUGUUUUGAUGCUCUCUGACUGAGUCCCUCUCACACUCCUGGUCCCUGUGAGGCUGAGCCUUCUUCUAGGUACUCUGCUGCAUUUAAUUUGGGGAGUUUGAUGGACUUGGUUUGUUGGUUAGUUGGAGUCUUUUUCAGAUGAGGACUUCAAUUGCUUUACCCCCCACAUGACACUUGGAUGUGACAAGAAAGAUCACAGGACCAUGCUCUGACCUCUCAGAUGGGCUCUCCCUGGAGAUGUGGCCUCCAGAGCCAGCCUUUCACUGCCCCACACUCCUCGAGCUUCACCUGGCUUCUCAAGUGUAUCAAGUCUUCAGAGACACAGUGCUCAACAAAGGAAAUUAAAACAGAGAACAAGGUCCUAACAGAGCUAAGGAAUGCAGUAUUGAGGACACUGGAAUCUUCCAGGAAGCAGCCAUGUGCUGAGAAGAAAAAUAAGCAGGCCUACAUACGGAUGUUUUAAUGAACUUGAAGUACUUAACCAAGCCACCAAAACUAGGAGCCUCAUUACUGGAUAUCCAGGAGAAGAACUUCCAAAGGCUGCUUCGUUCUGCUGUACAUUUGAGAUAAAUUUUAUCUGAGGUCUUCCCAGGAAUGCUUUGCUCAUGUCCAGUAUUUCGAAGCAUCUUUUCACUGCCUGGAUGGACUGAGGCAACUUCAAGGUGAUGGUGCCCAGCCCUACAAGAGACAUCUCAGAAACCUGAGGAGCUUCAGUGAGAGGGCUCAUUGCUGCAAUAAAGAUCCAUGGGACAGUUCUUCCACUAAGAGCUUUGUAAGGACUUAAUGCAGGUGAAAUGAAGGGAACAAAACACAACUUGUUAACCCUGUGAAAGACUGAUGGUAGAAGUGCCCGAUCACAAUGCCAAGGCAUUUAGUCCAAUGAUAACUCAGGGUUUUCUGAAUGUUUAUCUAGGUAUGUACCUGACACAUAAAUCUAUGAUUAUCUGUAUUUAUUUGAAAAACUGAGCUAUGAUCUAAGUAUUUAUUGAUGUAAUAAUCUUUUCCCAAGUCACCAAACAUGUACUGAAUCCCUCAAGAUGUUUUAAAUCAGUAUCUUAAUGCAAAAUUUUCCUCCUUGAAUUAAUCAGGGGGUUGGAGUAUGUCUUUGUUGCUCUAUUCAGUCCUUUAUGUGAUUAAUUGCAGAUCUUUCCUUUGACUGUUGCAGCAAUGCCUCAUCCACUUCACAUUCUCUUUGAUGUAAUCUACCCUCACAAAUGAGGUCAUUUUGGUUUUUUAAAGUAUAUUGCCAGUCCAAAAAUGCUGUAAAAUCUUACAGGUGUCACAUAUUCAUAGAUAAAAAAAAGGUGGAAGCCACUGGACGGUGUUUAGACCCUACAAUAUGUAGUGCUGAAGAAAGGGGUGCUUUUGAGUAUGCUAAUUUAGACAAAAUCAAUGUUUCAGUGUACAGGGAGGUUUCUUUUUCAGUGUAUUUUUGUAGGCAAACAUGAACUUUGUAGUCCCCUCUUUAGCACACUGCUUCUGAGCUUGAAGCAGCUCACCUCCUUGGAGAAGUCAAGUUGCAGGUACUCACUGCAGCAUCAUUUACAGCAUCCCAACUUCAAAGCAAAUAUAAUUUCUCCAAAUGGCAGAAGUUAUUUUUUCCUGUGAAAAUGGGAUGGAGAUUUAUGGUCCUAGAACCACAGCAGAUCACAGGAAAUAUUUUUCACCCCCUAGCAGUGUAGCUGUACAGGAUGUGCACCCUUAAGAAAUUUCUGACUGGAGUUGGGUUUUAGCUCUUUUAUACAGCAAACAUAUAAUUUCUUUCCAAAAAGAAACCUUAGAUGUAUGCCUAAAACAAAUUUCCACAUCCCUUCAUCAGAUUAUUCCACCCUCUCCCCUUUGUCUCUGCCCCUCCUUUCCCUUUAAUAACAAUGGAAACAAUUUGCAUGAUAAGCUAAAUACAACUUAAUUUCCUUGUACCUUAUAGGAAGAAAAUAAUGAUGCAAACUAAGUUAAGUAAAUGAAUAGUGCAUGAACUGCUGCCAUCUCUUGGUUAUAUUCAUCACUCCAAGUAUUUUGGGUGUAUUCAUCUAAAUCAAGACAAUUAAAGAAUUUCAUAGUGUUCUUUCCCCUCUCCUUUCACAUCCAGUCUUGCAAACACAAAGCAAAACAGAAUUUUGUUUUUUUCUGAAACUGUUCCUGAAACUGACAUUUGCAACUAUCAAGAAAAUGUAUAAAAUUCUUCUCUCAAUAUUUUUUGUAUGCUUAAGCUAAGUAAUUUUUCUUAUUUUUAUGGGGUUUAUUUUUUUUUUAUUUUAAUCUCUACCUUUGCCAAAGUAGGAAUUAUUUUUGGAAGCAUUGAGGUGUAAUUUUUCUACUACAACAGAGCAAAUUAACUUUAUUACAUUACCAUUCUGAUAAUGAAAGGUAUGAGGACAAAUGGAGGGAAGGGCGGUAGAACUGAGGAAUCACAUCUGCCUAAGUGAAACAAAAUACAUUUCUGAUAUAAUUUUUUCCCAUGUUUGAAGGCUAACAUGCUAAUUUUUAUGCCUCACACAAUUGUGUUCUCUGAUUAGAACCCACAGAAGGUAGUGGUAAUAAUUCCAGUGCAUUUCAAGAGCAUUUGGAUUAUUUCAGCUGGAAAUUGUCAGGUUUCUAGUGAAGUUGUCAGUGGAAUGACAUUGGCUUCUCCCACCCAAUACCAUUCACCACAAUUUCUGCAUGUUUAACCAGCUCCUGCUGAUUUCAGUAAGACAUCAAUUGACCUUUCCUAGGUCAAUUGCAAUGUGUGGACAGCUAAAAUAUCCUGUCUGAGCAGUCAUUAGACGCUCUCUAAAUGAUAGUAUGGAUGAUGAAUUGGAGCAAAACCCAGACAAUCUCCCAAUGGCAGCCACAGAGGCAGGACUUUCACCUGUUCCUCUCUUUCUGCCUCUGCAGUUGGAGUCUCCCUUGCUCAUGAGCACUUUGCUGUAGCUGUGCCAGGCCCUGUGCCUGCACCACUCCAGACAGCACAGAGACCAAGCAGCAAUUUGUACAGAGAGCACAAACAGAAGGUCUGAGAGCAGCCUAAUUAAAGCAAUCCUGUGCUGUGCCAAAGGUUACUUUAACACCCGGGCUAUAAUUAGCAGAUCCUCUCGCUUAGCUGGAGAGAAGGCUCAUCCACAACCUGUCUGUUGGAGCAGGAGCAAUUAGGAAAUCCCAUCACUCUGAUAAGCAGUUGCUUGUCAUGUCCCACUAAAAACAACUCGUGGAACUGAGGCCUUACAAAAAGAAGGAAAAAAAAAGUUUCUUUAUCUGAAAGACCAGAAAUUGCUUAAUCUUUUCCCAGCUGGCAAGAGACAUCUGGUCACAGCUGAAAAUCUCUCUCCCAUGGGAUGGACACGACCCUGCAAUUCUGGGCCAAAUGACUCUCUUAUCUUUCUUUUUUUUUUCUUUUUUUUUUUUCCCCUUCCCAUGGCUAAGUUAUGUAAUUAUAUCCAAACUCAGCUAACACCCCCAGCACUAACUUUCAAAGGACUUACAGAAAGUAGCAAAGUCGCCCCAUAUAGCAGGUUUUGCUUCACUGGUUUUUAUUCAUGAGUUCCUUACGUGACAAUUUACUGAAGCUGAUUUUCUUAGUCACUGAUGUGAUUAAAGCAAUAUCACCCCAGAGAGUUCCUGUUUGCCCGUACAUAUCACUGCAACCCUCUCAGCUUCCUCCAAAGCAUGGGCAGAGCCCCACUGGGCUGGAAAUUUGGCAGGGCGGGGUCUGU